rnacentral:rRNA from 1 species
UACGGAGGAUCCGAGCGUUAUCCGGAUUUAUUGGGUUUAAAGGGUGCGUAGGCGGCCUAUUAAGUCAGGGGUGAAAGACGGUAGCUUAACUAUCGCAGUGCCUUUGAUACUGAUGGGCUUGAAUGUAGUUGAGGUAGGCGGAAUGUGACAAGUAGCGGUGAAAUGCAUAGAUAUGUCACAGAACACCAAUUGCGAAGGCAGCUUACUAAGGAGUUACUGACACUGAGGCACGAAAGCGUGGGGAUCAAACAGG